ACAGAGGGUGCAAACGUUGCUCGGAAUUAUUGGGCGUAAAGCGCGUGUAGGCGGCUUGUUAAGUUGGUCGUGAAAGCCCAUGGCUCAACCAUGGAAGUGCAACCAAAACUGGCAAGGUAGAGUUCUGAAGAGGAUGGCGGAAUUCCCAGUGUAGAGGUGAAAUUCGUAGAUAUUGGGAGGAACAUCGGUGGCGAAGGCGGCCAUCUGGGAAGCGACUGACGCUGAGACGCGAAAGCGUGGGUAGCAAACAGGA
rnacentral:rRNA from 1 species